rnacentral:rRNA from 1 species
GAUGAACGCUAGCUACAGGCUUAACACAUGCAAGUCGCGGGGCAGCAUGGGGGUUGCUUGCCUUCCCCGAUGGCGACCGGCGCACGGGUGAGUAACGCGUAUCCAACCUGCCCUUCACCACGGACUAACCCGGCGAAAGUCGGACUACUACCGUAUGUUUUCCCUUGACGGCAUCCGAUUGGGAGGCAAGGUUUGUCGGUGUAGGAGGGGGAUGCGUCCGAUUGGCUGGACGGCGUGGUGUCGCCGCAGCGUGGCGCCGCUCGGGAGGGGUGAUGUGAGAGAGGUCCACCACACUGGAACUGAGACACAGACCAGACUCCUACGGGAGGCAGCAGAGAGGAAUAUUGGGCAAGGGACGUAAGCCUGAACCAGCCAAGUAGGGUACAGGAUGACGGGCCUAGGGGUUGUAAACUGCUUUUAUGCGGGGAUAAAGUGGCUCACGUGUGGGUUUUUGCAGGUACCGCAUGAAUAAGCACCGGCUAAUUCCGUG